CUCCACCACCGUAUUACUAUCAUUCACCGCCGCCGCCAGUGAAAUCCCCUCCCCCUCCUUAUGUUUACAGCUCUCCUCCUCCUCCGGUGAAGUCCCCUCCUCCCCCAUACUACUACCAUUCACCGCCUCCUCCGGUGAAGUCUCCUCCUCCUCCAUACUACUACCAUUCACCACCUCCUCCGGUGAAAUCCCCACCACCACCAUAUUACUACCAUUCACCACCUCCUCCGGUGAAAUCCCCACCACCACCAUACUACUACCAUUCACCUCCUCCUCCUGUGAAAUCUCCUCCUCCUCCAUAUUAUUACCACUCCCCACCUCCUCCGGUGAAAUCCCCACCACCACCAUACCUUUACAGCUCUCCACCACCACCGGUAAAAUCUCCCCCACCUCCUGUCUACAUCUACGCUUCUCCCCCACCUCCCACACAUUACUAGGCUCAUCAAAUUCAACAAAAUUUCCCCAUUAUUCAAGUAAGUCCUAUACUUAUACCUUUACCUCAUAAUCCGUUUUAAUAAUUGUGCCCUAAAUAAAAUCGGAAUUUCUUCUUUCACAGGUUU
rnacentral:lncRNA from 1 species